rnacentral:lncRNA from 1 species
CUCGAGCGGACGUAAUAUUCCGAACUAAAAAUUGAAAACUUCAAGAUGGCUAAUGAGGCAGAUUCAGCAGUACGAUCAGAGACAGCUUCCGGCGGGUCAUUCUCCAGCUUUACGGGAAUGAUCCCCACCUUCGCGGGGGAACCGACACAGCGCGUCACAGACUUUUUCGACACAAUAGAAGAAAUAGCCACAUUAGCAUCAUGGAUAGAGCGACAAAAACUUGGUAUAGCGAAGUGUAAACUCACAGGAAUCGCGCGAGAGUAUGCUUGGCGAGAUUUUAGGAUAAAAGACGUGGUUGACUAUAAAACUUUCAAGGCC